rnacentral:rRNA from 1 species
AUACGGAGGGUGCAAGCGUUACUCGGAAUCACUGGGCGUAAAGCGCGCGCAGGCGGCUAUUUAAGUUGGAUGUGAAAGCCUACGGCUCAACCGUAGAACUGCAUCCAAAACUAUUUAGCUAGAGUGUGGGAGAGGAAGAUGGAAUUAGUUGUGUAGGGGUAAAAUCCGUAGAGAUAACUAGGAAUACCAAAAGCGAAGGCAAUCUUCUGGAACACUACUGACGCUGAGGCGCGAAGGCGUGGGGAGCAAACAGGAUUAGAAACCCGAGUAGUCC